rnacentral:rRNA from 1 species
UGGCAGUGGCGGACGGGUGAGUAACGCGUGGGUAUCUGUCUCUGGGUGGGGGAUAACGGUGGGAAACUACCGCUAAUACCGCAUGACACCUGAGGGUCAAAGGCGCAAGCCGCCUGGAGAGGAGCCCGCGUACGAUUAGCUAGUUGGCGGGGUAAAGGCCCACCAAGGCGACGAUCGUUAGCUGGUCUGAGAGGAUGAUCAGCCACACUGGGACUGAGACACGGCCCAGACUCCUACGGGAGGCAGCAGUGGGGAAUAUUGGACAAUGGGCGAAAGCCUGAUCCAGCAAUGCCGCGUGAGUGAAGAAGGUCUUCGGAUUGUAAAGCUCUUUCGACGGGGACGAUGAUGACGGUACCCGUAGAAGAAGCCCCGGCUAACUUCGUGCC